GAUGAACGCUGGCGGCGUGCCUAAUACAUGCAAGUCGAGCGAACGGACGAGAAGCUUGCUUCUCUGAUGUUAGCGGCGGACGGGUGAGUAACACGUGGAUAACCUACCUAUAAGACUGGGAUAACUUCGGGAAACCGUAGCUAAUACCGGCUAAUAUUUUGAACCGCAUGGUUCAAAAGUGCAUGACGGUCUUGCUGUCACUUAUAGAUGGAUCCGCGCUGCAUUAGCUAGUUGGUAAGGUAACGGCUUACCAAGGCAACGAUGCAUAGCCGACCUGAGAGGGUGAUCGGCCACACUGGAACUGAGACACGGUCCAGACUCCUACGGGAGGCAGCAGUAGGGAAUAUUGCGCAAUGGGCGAAAGCCUGACGGAGCAACGCCGCGUGAGUGAUGAAGGUCUUCGGAUCGUAAAACUCUGUUAUUAGGGAAGAACAGAUGUGGAUGUAACUGUGCACAUCUUGACGGUACCUAAUCAGAAAGCAACGGCUAACUACGUG
rnacentral:rRNA from 1 species